CUAUUGCCAUGAUCAUUCCAUCCACUCAAGAAUCAUGUAUUAUUUCAUAAUUAAAUGUAUUGUAUUGGUAGUGUAAUGUGGUACAUUGUUAUAUUCUCAGUUUGGACUGUCCAUACCCCCCUUCAGACUACUAUCUUAUUCUCAUUCAUCGUCAGAGAAAGUCACACCCAAAUCGGUCGUUUUUUAUUAUACCAUUUUGUCUUUAUUUCAUAAAGAAAAGUAAAAAGUGAAAUAUGAAAACAUCUCAAUAAUCCCCCCACCUUCCCCUCUUAGCCUGGAUGCCUGACUUGGUUUGGUGUUCAACAACAAAGCUGACUGAUUAAGAAACAACCCCCUAGCCCUUAGCCCCUACCCUUGGUACUUCUGAGUGGUUUGGAUGGGUAUACGAUAGGAAAUAAGGGCUAGGGAGUAAGGGGGUUAGAGUCUAGGGUGUAGGGACUAGGGAGUAAGGGGGUUAGAGGCUAGGGUGUAGGGGCUAGGGGGUAAGGGGGUUACAGGCUAGGGUGUAGGGGCUAGGGAGUAAGGGGGUUAGAUGCUAGGGUAUAGGGGCUAGGGAGUAAGGAGGUUAGAGGCUAGAGUGUAGGGGCUAGGGCGUAAAAUGGUUAGAGGCUAGGGUGUAGGGGCCAGGGAGUAAGGGGGUUAGAGGCUAGGGGGUAGGGGCUAGGGAGUAGGGGGGUUAGAGGCUAGGGUGUAGGGGCUAGGGAGUAAGGGGGUUAGAGACUAGGGGGUAGGGGCUAGGGAGUAGGGGGGUUAGAGGCUAGGGUGUAGGGGCUAGGGAGUAAAAUGGUUAGAGGCUAGGGUGUAGGGGCUAGGGAGUAAGAGGGUUAGAGGCUAGGGAGUAAGGGAGUAAAGUCUAGGGUGUAGGGGCUAGGGAGUAAGAGGGUUAGAGGCUAGGGAGUAAGGGAGUAAAGCCUAGGGUGUAGGGGCUAGGGAGUAAAAGGGUGAAGUCUAGAGGGUAGAGGGUUUCUGGCCCAGUACUUGUUAUUUAAAACAGAAUCAUCCUGGCAGCCAUGUUACAACUCCAUCCUCCUAAUGAAAGAUAGACCCCUGUGAAGAUGACAUGCUGUGUCUCAAAUGGCACCAUAUUCCCUAUAGAGUGGACCAGGUCAAAAGUAUUGCACUAUAUAGGGAAUAAGGUGCCAUUUGGAAUGCAUCCCAUGUACCCUCCUCCACUACUGCAUCUCCUGGUGCCCUACAGCACCCUAUUAUACAACACAAAGUGGCUUAAAGUAGAAUACUGACAGACAGACAAAACAAAGUGAUUUUGUUGGUGGCAUCUCUGUCUCCUCUGCUGUUUUCCUCUCCUCCUCUUCUCCUCUUCUUCACCAUUCACAUCAAGGAGUGGCAUCCCCUUUCCUUUCCUGUUCAAUGGCUGAAACAGAAGACAGCAAGACACAUACUGUAUACAUGUGGUGGAGAUGUUGGGGAGGGAGAAUGUGAAUUGGGCUCCGGUGGUGUGUGGUUGUGUUGCAGAGACAAUACAGAGUUCAUCCCAAAUGGUACCCUAUUCCCUAAAUAGUGCACUACUUUGACCUGGGCCUAUAGGGAGAGAGUGAUGCUGCUGAUUCAGUGAUUUGUAGUAAAGAAGUGUUUGUAUACUGCAGAGCCAGAGGAAGGUUGACAGCAGUAGAACUGACAACACCUAUAGCUGCUAAGAUGAUGGCAGGGGAGAGAGAGAGAGGGGGGAGAGAGAUGGGGGGAGAG
rnacentral:lncRNA from 1 species